CAAAGUUCAAGGAUAUUCAAGAGCACAUAUCUUCCAAGACAGGAAGGAGCACAUGAAGAGCUGGGACUGAAGAGCAGGGCUGACUGGAUUGGAUAACAUUUGUGCGCUACUGAAAAGAAAUGCAAAUUGAGUGCUGACAGGGCCUGAUAUAUUAGCAGCUUUCAGAGAAGGUCAAAAUCAGAGAGGGAAGAAGGUGAAAGCCAUGGCGGAGAGGAAGAACAGCGCGAGUCCCAGCAGCAGCUCAAAGGGAGGAGCUGCAGUCUUCGCCAAACAGGUCCAGAGGACAUUCAGCCGAGCUCAGGAAAAGGUUUUACAGAAGUUUGGUAAAUCUGAGGAGACAAGAGAUCACCAGUUUGAGAUGUGUGUACAAAACCUCCAAGUUCAACAGAGUGAUGGACACAGAAUAUACAAAGACCUCAAGGCGUAUCUCAAUGCUGUUAAAGUGAUGCGUGACGCUUCCAGUCGUCUGUUCCAGUCCCUGUUUGAUGCCUAUGAGCUUGACUGGGAUGGUGGAGAGGACCUUGGUGCUGUUGUGGAGGGGGAAGAUCUGCUGUGGAACGAUUAUGAAACCAAGCUUCGUGACCAAGCGCUGGUUACCAUGGACUCUUACAUGAGCCAGUUUCCAGAUAUGAGGGAAAGAGUGGCCAAACGAGGCAGAAAACUUGUGGAUUACGAUUCUGCUCGCCAUCAGCUGGAUUCACUGGAGAGUGCCAAAAAGAGAGAUGACAUCAAAAUAAACAAGGCGAAAGAGGAGAUGGAAACAGCCAAGAAGAUUUUUGAGGACAUGAACCGGGAACUGAAGGAGGAGCUGCCUGUUCUUUAUGACAGUCGGAUCGGAUGCUACGUUACGGUCUUUCACGCUAUUUCUAAUCUGAGAAAUAUCUUCUACAGGGAAAUGACACAGAAUAAUGACAAUUUACAGAACAUCAUGAAGGACCUCAAAGACCAACAUCCUGACAAGAACUUUGUGAUUAAGAACUUCAGUCGGGGGUCACUGAAGAGGAGGUCACUAAAAGAUGCACUGUCUCCCAGAUCACUGAGGUCCAGUUUUUUUGACUUCCACAUGGGUUACAGCCCCCGAGGUACUCUCAGGAGAGAGUACAAUUCCAGUUUCAGGUCAGAACGGGGAUCCUAUGAGUCGUACAGCCCUGCGACCAGUCCCACCAGACCAAAACCCACUGAGGACCCCACGCCUGCAGCAAAGAACACAGACACCAGCUCCACCAGCGAAGACAGCUCUACUGCAACGGUAACAGACAGUGGACACAGUGCACAAAGUGCUGCAAAGGAAGAUGUGAAGCCUGAGGAUGAAGGGAAGGAGAAGAAGGAGGAGAAGAAAGAGGAAGAGUCACAGAGUGUUUCUGAGCAGGACAGAGAGAGAGAGAGUGCAGGGGUGAAAGAUGACUCGGCUCCAGAGGAGGAUGAGGAUGAUGAUGAUGAUGAGGAUGAUGACGACAGUGAGCAGGAGCCAAAUGUAAGCCAUUCUGAAGCUCAUGAAAAGCACAGUCCCCAUCCUGAGGAUCUGAAGAAGCCGGGCUCUGGAUGAUUUUGAAUCUUCCAAGGACUCUGCUAGGACUGAUCAUACUUUACUUGAGGUGAGGGAGGAAACAGUCUGAAAGAAUGGACUCAAAGAAACAGGGAUGAAUUUGAUGUUAUCUUCACCAAACCUGUCAGCCAAAGUUUUCUACUUGUUAUUCUAACUAGAAAUAUUACAAUCACUAUGUAAUAAUUCCAUUUUUAUUUUGUGGUCAUUUCAACUAAAUGAUUAAUCCUAGACGUAAUAUAUCUAAUAAACUAUGUAGUUCUUGAUUAACUUAAUUUAACUUGGGACCGAAUAAAAAGAUUGUAUUAAAUUUAAAAAACAAACCCAAUUUGGAUGAAGAUGGCAGAAUACCUAAUAAAAUAGCCUAAAUGUAUUUUGUCUUGCUUAAAAAAAAACUUAAUAUAAAUUACUCUAGUCAUUUCCCUUUUUAAAUGACAGAAUAUAUUGCCAAAUAUUUUGUGCAUCACUAGUACUACUGCUUUAUAACUUAUUUUCAUUUAUUAAUAUGCUGUUCCCUUAGUCGCCGCUAGGGCGAAUAUGCUGGUUAUGGGUUUUGUUUUCCUAGAGGACUGUCAUAGGUUUUUGAUUGUAAAAGUUUGUAAUGUUGAGUUUUAAUUGUUGUAAACUGUUAAUUGGCAAAUAAACUAUUAAAAAUGUAAAAGUA